UGGGGAAUAUUGCACAAUGGGCGCAAGCCUGAUGCAGCAACGCCGCGUGAGGGACGACGGCCUUCGGGUUGUAAACCUCUUUUAGUAGGGAAGAAGCGAAAGUGACGGUACCUGCAGAAAAAGCACCGGCUAACUACGUGCCAGCAGCCGCGGUAAUACGUAGGGUGCAAGCGUUGUCCGGAAUUAUUGGGCGUAAAGAGCUCGUAGGCGGUUUGUCGCGUCUGCUGUGAAAACCCGAGGCUCAACCUCGGGCCUGCAGUGGGUACGGGCAGACUAGAGUGCGGUAGGGGAGAAUGGAAUUCCUGGUGUAGCGGUGGAAUGCGCAGAUAUCAGGAGGAACACCGAUGGCGAAGGCAGUUCUCUGGGCCGUAACUGACGCUGAGGAGCGAAAGCGUGGGGAGCGAACAGGAUUAGAUACCCUGGUAGUCCACGCCGUAAACGUUGGGCGCUAGAUGUGGGGACCAUUCCACGGUUUCCGUGUCGCAGCUAACGCAUUAA
rnacentral:rRNA from 1 species